rnacentral:rRNA from 1 species
AUACGUAGGUGGCAAGCGUUGUCCGGAAUUACUGGGUGUAAAGGGAGCGUAGGCGGGUGUGCAAGUUGAAUGUCAAAUCUAUGGGCUCAACCCAUAGUCGCGUUCAAAACUGCAUAUCUUGAGUGAAGUAGAGGUAGGCGGAAUUCCUAGUGUAGCGGUGAAAUGCGUAAAUAUUAGGAGGAACACCAGUGGCGAAGGCGGCCUACUGGGCUUUAACUGACGCUGAGGCUCGAAAGCGUGGGUAGCAAACAGGAUUAGAUACCCUGGUAGUCCACGCUGUAAACGAUGAUUACUAGGUGUGGGGGGACUGACCCCUUCCGUGCCGCAGUUAACACAAUAAGUAAUCCACCUGGGGAGUACGACCGCAAGGUUGAAACUCAAAGGAAUUGACGGGG